rnacentral:misc_RNA from 1 species
AACGCAACUUGCGCCCUUCCCUCGGGAAGGGCAUGUCUGCCUCAGCGUCGGCUUCAACCCUCGCAGGCGGUCCGCUCCUCGUGAGCGUGUACCCCCUAGCGGACCUGGCCCUCUCACCCCUCGGCGUCGCCGAUCGGUGGGUGGGCUGAAGCGCAGAGGCUCGAGCAUGGACCCCGUUCGCAGGGCGUCGACUUGGCAGGUAGGGUUCCCUACACCCACUGUCGACGUCCGAGGGGCUCGUGCUGGAGGCCCAGCAGGAACCGAGGCGCGGGUGGUGCGGCGGGAGGAGGGGGGCGAUCUCUCGAAGGAGCGAUCCCCCCCCACCCCCCCGACCCACCGGCCCUCGGCACACCACCUCAUUCACGACCUGAGCUCAGGCAAGGCUACCCGCUGAACUUAA